ensembl:lncRNA
GGAAUAUACCCAAAGUGACGUUUUUAGCAGCUCAUUUGUGUGGGGAAGACCACAUUGCCCGACACAAUGACAUGAUGACAUGCGAGCAGGCCUGCAAGUUCUUGAAUACCAUCCCAUGCUAUGCAGACGUUUUUGAUCUAUGCACGGUUACCAUGGAAGAAUCAGGUUUAGGCUUUCCAAACUGGAGAUCAGAAGCACUUGAAUUAAACAGCUUAAUAGGGACAUUCUUCAUCCCCAAUUGUUAAAGUUGUGUGUGUGUGUGUCUGUGUCUGUGUGUGUGUGUACCUAUUUGAAGGAAAGAUCCAGAAGGGCCCCCUCACCAUCUGCAACCAUGAGCACUCAGGUGCGGAAGAGAAGAUUGUAGCAGAGCUGCGAGAAGGUGUAUGACCCCCUGGCCCCAGACUUCCACUUGCAGGCCCUGAUUCGCACAGCUGGCAAGUUGGUAUGCCUCAAAGACGCCGGCCACAAGGUGCAAUGCCACUGUAAUGGCUUGUCCAAAGUUGUAAAACUGUACCAUUUGAACUCCUAUGAGAGGGCAAUUCUGGACAUGGCCAGCCUAAAGCUGUCCCUGAACCAUGCCGUGCUACAGAACAUUAGUGGCAACAAGGAGAGCAACAUCAGUGGGAUCCAGCAGUUCUCCAAGAAAGUGUCUAUCCCACCAUCAUGGACGAUGAAACGAUCAGGGCAGCUGCUUCUGGGAGGAAGAUACUCGACCAGAUCCUGCAGCGCCGUGCCACCUCUUUCACCACCAAGAGAGGACAAGGGCUCCACUUUCUCUAAGGCCAGUUUAUGUUGCCUCUGAGAAUCGCAAUGACAUCACACUGGAUGAGCCAGAGGACAAACAUCCAACAGGCCUCUGCUGUCUGUUUCCAGAGCACCUUCUGAGACUGAUAGACACAAUGACACACAUGCUCAAAACAGGCCUCUUAAGGCAUGGGUGAAAUUGUUACUCUAUUGCCUACAUACACUCAUUCAGACACGCACUCACCAUCAAUGCGUGUGUAUUGAUCUGAGCGUCCUGAGAAGGGCCAGCAAUGGAAUGAGCUGUCUGAGUACUGAACACUUAAGAUGAUUUCCAGGACUGAUGCAGCACUAAUUGG